rnacentral:lncRNA from 1 species
GUUAUAUCAAUUUAUACAUAAAUUUUUGUGACUAUGUCAUUACUCAAUAUUAUGAUCGAACGAAUUAUUAUCAUCGAACAAAUAUGAUUGUCUAAUCAACUAGAAAAUGAAAAAUAAAAUUGUUGGUUCUCUAUGAAAUAUUGGGAUAAAUUGAAUUUACCCCUUCAUUUUCUAUAAACCUUAAUGGGCCCCCAAUAUUUCAAUGGUCUACAGCAAUACUAGGGGUGGGCAAAAAAACCGUAGUCUUAAAAAAACCGAACCGAACCGACGGUUUUUUCUAAUUUGGUACGGUUUUUUUUUAAAAAACCGAACGGUACAAUUUAUAAAAAAACCGAAAAACCGAAUUAUUUUUAAAUUUUAUUAAAUUAAAUAUGUGUUAAUUUUUAACCGAUUGUGUAAGAUAGCUAACAUAAACUUGCAUACACACAAUCAGAGUAUAUAUAUAUGUUAGUGUUACAAUUUCGUAAAUUUUUAUUUCCCAAAAUAAACCCUAAAAUCAAAUAUAAAAAAAUUUCGUAAAUUUCGUAAAUUUCAAUUUCUUGAAGAAUUUUUUAGGCUAAUGUAAUCUUAAGAACAACAGCAAGUAGCUGAGGAGUAAAUGAUAGUUGAUUGAUGUUGCUUACCAGUAAGUUUUUUUUUUAUUUUUUUAAACUAGCAUCUUAUUAUAUAGAUUGUUUAUUUAAUUAUUUAUUAAUAGUUAGUAAGAUAUUAUUGAUAAAAUGUGUUUUGAAUACUUUGUAUUUAUUGUUAAUAUUUGUAAUGAAAUUAGGAUGAACUUGUUGAAAAAAAUUAUUACAUUUAUGAAGCCCAAUGGGCUAAAAAUUUGAAAAUUCAAAAUAGGCCCAGAACCGAAAAAACCGAACCGAAUCGAACCGAACCGAAAAGAACCGUUUGAGUUCGGUUCUUUUUGAGUUUGGUUCUUAUUCGGUUCUUUUUAUAAAAUAACCGAUUUAAAUCGGUUCUACUUAAUUUCGAAUCGAACCGAACCGUGCCCACCCCUAAGCGAUACCUCAUUUUGUUACUCCUUAGGUUGGUUGCUAAAAUAGAAAAAUGACAAUUGAGAUUGAUCAAAGAGAAAAUUGCAUAAAGUACGUAUUUUACGAUGUUCUUAUAUGAGCAGUUACAAUAGAGAUAAUUGCAUAAAAUUUUGUAGAAAAUUUUAGCACACUAUCACUGUAAGAUAAAAAAAAAUUACUACAGAAAAAAAUUUCACUAUAAGAUAAUUUCUUUUUUGUAAUUUAUCUUUAUUGUAUAGAUAUCAUUCAAGAUAAGAGUGGCAAUAUGGGUCAAGAUUCGUUUAUUCGAUUCGAUGCGAAUAUGAUAGUUUAAUCAACUAGAAAAUAAAAAGUAAAAUUGUUUAUUCGUUUCUUUUUAUAAUUUUAGCACACUAUCACAAAUAUGAUAGUCUAAUCAACUAGAAAAUGAAAAGUAAAAUGGUUGGUUCUCUAUGAAAUAUUGGGAUAAAUUGAAUUUACCCCUUUAUUUUCUAUAAACCUUAACAAGCCCCCAAUAUUUCACAGGUUUACAGUGAUACCCCAUUCUGUUAGGUGGUGUUUGGUUUAAGGAAAUUAGAGAAAAGGAGAGGAUAUGAAAUGAGAGGAGUAGAGAGGAAAAGAGAGGAGAGGACGAAUGGUUUUCAGAUCCUUUAUUUGGUUUAGUAUAGAAUUCUAAUAAGAAAGAAAUUAAUUAUU